CUUGCCUCUAAGCCAUGUUGUGAACGAGACUGCAUCAUGAAAAACAACCCUCUGAGACCAAAUUGGUUUGAGUAUGAUCAGGUCAAGACGAGAAGCCAGAGGAAGUGGCUGAGACCAUGAAUGAUGGAUUCACAUUGUGAUUCUGCAUUUGGUUAAAGAAUAAAAUUUAGAGGUGAAUGUGAUGAUUGGCCAACAUUGCUACAUUUUUUGAAUUAAACAUCAACCCAAUUUUUAUAUAGAUUUAGAGAUUUUUUUUUUCUAAUUUCAGCUUCUUGCUGCUGUUGGUGAUAGGUCUGCAAUAAUGACAUAUUUCUCCUGGAAGGGAAAAGAAAACAAAACAAAGCACAUACUUUUCCAAGUAGCCACAAUUUUCUAUGAAAAUUAAAAAGUUGGAGAGGAUUUAAAAGGAACACUUGGCAGCUUUCACAUACCAACUCCUUGUCACAACCCCACUAAUUCGACAAAGAUCAAAUCAUCAACUGUAAGAGGAACUGGAGCCAGACCAUUUGAGUCACAGACUGAUAGCUGCCAUUUUCAUUAGGUAAAGCCUGUCAUUCCCUCUGCUUGCUUAUUAGCUGUGGAAGUUGAUGGCUAUAUAUGUAUAGCAGGGGCAGGCAGGUGCCAAGCCCUGCAGCCUUGCACUAGUUUGGCAUGUUCAAGAUCCCCCGUUUCAUUAUUUCUUUUUCUACAGACUAACUAGUUUCUACAGUCUGCUUAUUAAUUUCACUUCUAUCCGUGAAGCACUACAUCUCUACCACAGGCAUCCAAUAUUUUGUUCCUACUGGCAAUAUCACCAGUCCAUCCUAGACUCUUGGGACUCACAGGGUUUAACCCCUUGCUCUCUGGUUGAGAUAAGUAGUUCUUAAAAUUGUAAGAGUCAAGCCCAUGUAUGAAUUUAAUUACUGGAAGUCAAGCCAUGAAGCCAACACAUGAAUCUUCUAGAAUAUUUUGUACAGUUUUCUGUUUGUUGUGCUUUGUUUUCUGUUUCUUCUACCUAAAACAUGUAUAUGACACCCCCUUGAGGGUUUGAACUUUUCUUCCCUCUUUGUCCUUGAGUUAGCUUCAUGGCUUCCAUGUGGUAUCCUCAAUCAAUUAGUCUGAAGAGUUCUUUUGCUCAUUUGGCUUGCAAUACCACAGGCUCCUUGAAAUACUCCCUUGCUACAUAUAAUGCAGUACCACACUCUUAGCAAGGUGUUGGGGAAUCCAGUAGUGAAUUAUCCAUGGUCCUUAUCUUCUACCUUUUAACUAAGCCUAUGUUAUUUGGGGAAAAUAAUUAAUCUGUCUCAUCUAUCAUGAGAAUAAUAUCUCCUCCACAAAUUAUUAUGAGGAUAAAAGAAUAAUGCAUGUGAGAUCUCUUUGUAAAUUAUAAAGUGCUACAUAAACAUAAGAUAUUGUUUUUAUUAUGCCUACUUCCCAUCAUAUCAGCUCUCAAUCAUUUGUCUUUCUGUACGAAGAUUAGGGUAUUUUUUGUUGGUUUUAGCAGAGUGAUUUGCACAUAAAGAUUGAAUUGAUUGAUUCAUUUUUGCCUUCAGAUUUAUGAUCCCAGGUCUAAUAAUAUUUCAAAAUCUUGGCAGUCCAUGACUGAGAUUUUGAGUUGCCUUUCUCCUUAGACCUUGCAAGUUCAAAUGGAGUUGGUUCCCAUCUAUAUGAGAUUGUGGUCACUCGAACAUGGAAGCUGAGGGAGGCUGGAGUGAGGGGCUCUGUUCCCCAUAUAAUCUCAUUAUACUUUUCUCAUAACUUUCCAGUUUAGCAAAGGCACCUUGGCCAGCUGUUUUUCACUAAGCCUUUAUUUGAUUUCACUGAUUUUAAAGUUUACUGGUUUCGUUUUAUUGCUGGAACUUACAGCAAAAAUAUCUUCAGACACAUAUAGGAAAGCAUAAAAACAAGAGAGUAGCAAAUUUUUAAUUUAUAUUUAUUUUGAUUUUUACAAAAUACAUUGAAGUAUAUUUCUCUAUUCACUCCUUUGAGCAUGUGCCCAAAUCAAAACAUUUAAAAAUUCCUUUCAUUUGUGAAAAAUCUGAGGCAUCUGUCUCCAGAAUAAUAAUAGCAACUAUGUUUUUAUUUCCUCUUUAUAACAGCAAUGACUAGGAAUCUGACUUGCUUGAAAUUAUAGCAAUUAUAAAAAGAGUUUUGCAUUUGAUUUGUACACAUUAUCCCAUCCUGGGACAGAGGGCUGAUCUGACUGACUAGGUGUAUGUUUGAGAAAAAGAAGUGGUAGAAAGUAGGUUUCUGGUCCAAAGCAACACAGCCACAGCCACAGCCAUCAUAUCUGGGGUAGGAUCAAGGGUUGACAAUGCUCAAGGCAGCAGCCAGAGGAAGUAGUAGAGAUAGACGCCCAGUAGAAGACACCACACAUCCCCAAAUCCAGAAACGGUCCAUGACAAGAUAUAACAGACAUGAUUGUUUUAAGUACAAAAUUAAAGAAUUCCAGUUACCAUUUGCAUGUAAACUGAUAGAGUUGGAGAAUACAAUGCUAAGUGAAGUUAGUCAAUCCCCAAAUAAACAGAUGCUAAAUGUUUUCUCUGAUUAAGAAUGCUGAUUCUUCCACAGUCUAGCUAUUGUGAAUUGUGCUGCUAUGAACAUCGAUGUAGCAGUGUCCCUGUAGCAUGCUCUUUUUAGGUCUUUAGGGAAUAGACCGAGAAGGGGAAUAGCUGGGUCAAAUGGUGGCACAAUGGAUGAAUGGAUAAAAAAAAUGUGGCAUUUAUACACAAUGGAGUAUUACUCUGCAUUAAAAAAUGACAAAAUCAUAGAAUUUACAGGGAAAUGGAUGGCAUUAGAGCAGAUUAUGCUAAGUGAAGCUAGCCAAUCCCUAAAAAACAAAUGCCAAAUGUCUUCUUUGAUAUAAGGAGAGUAACUAAGAACAGAGUAGGGUCGAAGAGCAUGAGAAGAAGAUUAACAUUAAACAGGGAUGAGAGGUGGGAGGGAAAGGGAGAGAGAAGGGAAAAUGCAUGGAAAUGGAAGGAGACCCUCAGAGUUAUACAAAAGUACAUACAAGAGGAAGUGAGGGGAAGGGGGAAAAUAAUAUAAGGGGGACAAACGAAUGUCAGUAGAGGGAGCAGAGAGAGAAGAGGGGAGGGGAGGGGAGGGGGGAUAGUAGAGGAUAGGAAAGGCAGCAGAAUACAACAGACACUAGUAUGGCAAUAUGUAAAUCAAUGGAUGUGUAACUGAUGUGAUUCUGCAAUCUGUAUAUGGGGUAAAAAUGGGAGCUCAUAACCCACUUGAAUCAAAUUGUGAAAUAUGAUAUAUCAAGAACUAUGUAAUGUUUUGAACAGCCAACAAUAAAAAAUUAAAAAAAA
rnacentral:lncRNA from 1 species